UACGAAGGGGGCAAGCGUUGUUCGGAAUUAUUGGGCGUAAAGGGAGCGUAGGCGGUUCGGCAAGUCUUUAGUGAAAUCUCUGGGCUCAACUCAGAGUCUGCUGGAGAAACUGCCGGGCUGGAGUAUGGGAGAGGUGAGUGGAAUUCCCGGUGUAGCGGUGAAAUGCGUAGAUAUCAGGAGGAACACCUGUGGCGAAAGCGGCUCACUGGACCAUAACUGACGCUGAUGCACGAAAGCUAGGGGAGCAAACAGG
rnacentral:rRNA from 1 species